rnacentral:snRNA from 1 species
AUCGCUUCUCGGCCUUUUGGCUAAGAUCAAGUGUAAAUAUAUGGGGAAACAUUUUUUUAAAUGACAGAGGAAGAAGCAUAUUUGAACUUAAAAUAUUUUUGAACAGCAAAAAUGAAUUUGCAGGGCUGGGGAUUUAGCUUAGUGGUUCCACUGUCUGCCUCACAAGCGCAAGGACUAGAGUUCAAUCCCUGGUACCGCCCCCCCC